UCCGAGUUGACCCCGGCAGUCUCCUAUGAGUCCCCACCAUUACGUGCUGGCAACAUAGGACGAGGGUUGCGCUCGUUGCGGGACUUAACCCAACAUCUCACGACACGAGCUGACGACAGCCAUGCACCACCUGUGCACGAGCCCCGAAGGGCUGCCGUAUUUCUACGACAUUCCCGUGCAUGUCAAGCCCUGGUAAGGUUCUUCGCGUUGCGUCGAAUUAAACCACAUGCUCCACCGCUUGUGCAGGCCCCCGCCAAUUUCUUUGAGUUUUAACCUUGCGGCCGUACUCCCCAGGCGGAUGACUUAACGCGUUAGCUGCGCCACCAAAACCCUAAGGGCCCUGACAGCUAGUCAUCAUCGUUUACGGCGUGGACUAC
rnacentral:misc_RNA from 1 species